rnacentral:rRNA from 1 species
GACAGAGGGUGCAAGUGUUAUCCGGAAUCACUGGGCAUAAAGCGUCUGUAGGUGGUUUAAUAAGUCAACUGUUAAAUCUUGAGGCUCAACCUCAAAAUCGCAGUCGAAACUAUUAGGCUAGAGUAUAGUAGGGGUAAAGGGAAUUUCCAGUGGAGCGGUGAAAUGCGUAGAGAUUGGAAAGAACACCGAUGGCGAAGGCACUUUACUGGGCUAUUACUAACACUCAGAGACGAAAGCUAGGGUAGCAAACAGG